CUGUUCGAUGCUGUCGAGUGUCUUGGAGAGUCAGAGUCCUGCAGCCCAGAGACACACAAGAACACCAGUCAGAAGGAAUACCAGCACUUCAAGCUGUGAUAUGUCACUACUGGGCUGGUGUUUGGUGGAGCCUUGCUACCCACACAUCUCCGGAGCAUUCCUCUUGUGUAUUAAUGGCUGUGACAACUGGGACCUCACAGCAGCGACACAAGACCAUGCAUGUAACCAGUCAAAGCUCAGCUGUGCAAAUUGGUUUUGGAGACAUAUGGAGGAGAUUUCUUUUUCUCCUGCAUUCUUAAAUUCUGCCUAGUGUUGGAUGCAGGUAUGUUUCCAAAACCUUCCCAGUGAUAGGGCUCCAGCACAGCAGCCCAGAGGCACUUGAAGCAGCCUGGCAAUAAAGGUUUGCCAGAAAUCAAGAGCAAUGUUCCCAUGACAGCAAUGGGCAUGGCCUGGACCCACACAAAGCCUGAGCAAACAACAGCAUCACACACAUCUACCUACAGGUUCUUCCUGAUUUAUCUGUCCCAGGCAGAGCUGCAGGCCCCAGCAUGGUACACAGCUGUGAUGCACUGCAGGUACCUUUGUGCCUGCUUCACUUUGGUUUGUAUUUCUAUAUUUCUACAGGACACAGCAACCCCCAGGUAGGCAGACCUGGAUGCACAAUGCAAGAAAAAAAGGCAAGACCACUUCUAUCCCUCCAAUUUACAUUGCUACUGGAAGGAUGCCUACAGAACAGCAUCCUACCUCAGCCUCUGCCUAAAAACAACAGGAUUAAGAGGAUCUACAUCAGCAAGUUGCCAUAGCUUUAAUUUCUACCCUGUUUCUACAUGUUCUAAUUUCACUUAUUUACUUUAACCUAGAAACUGCUUGAAACAUUAUCUGUGUCUGUCUCUCUCCAUCUGUGUACAGUAAUGUGCAUAAAUUCUCACAUUCCACAUGAAUUCAUCAUAAACAAACAGCCUGAAAGCUUGGUCCAACACCAAGCAGAUCCAGAACCUCUUCCUAAAUUCAGCCUGGUAUGCAGCACUUUGACUGCUGGAGGAUGAACACUGUGGAACAGAGAACUUAUCAUUCAAAAUUCCCACAUCCUUCCUGGUGAUUAAAAAUAUUAUUCUCAUAGCAAAAGGUUCAGCCCAAACUUUUCUUUUUUCUCUGAGGCCACAAAGUGUCUGUUUCUUGGCAUGUCAGAGCAGCGGGAAGAGCCCAGCUGACAGCAGAAAGUAAAUUGUCUGGGACAAACGGGAGGGGAGGGGUGAAGGAACAGCUUACAAGGGGUUUUCUCCCACGUUAAUAGCCAGGCAAAAGGAAAACCACACAGUGUUAGUAGAGUGAACACCUGACUCAGCCGUUCAUACCCUCAGAGUGACAAAGUC